CACCAGGCCUGGGGACAGGGGCCGGCCACUGGGCCGGCCGCGAGGAGCUGUCCUCAUGGCGGCCGGGUCCAGCCAUAGCCCGGCAGCGCAGUGCAGUGGGCAGCCUGCCCCACCCGCCUGCUCCCCGUGCUGCCUCAGGCCUCAGGCCCUCAGCCAGAGCACCCUCCAAGGUCCCCCAGCCCAGCCACGCGGCCUCCUUGCGGCCCGAGUCACACCCAGGGCCUAGCCUGUCCCAUACCCUGUGCCAGCAGCGCCCCCUGCUGGCUCCGCAGCCCUCCGACUCGGCUGGCUGCACCGCCUCAGGGAAGCCCUCUGGGAUCUGCCUGCCCUGCUCUCUGGAGUGAGGACCCUCCCAGCACCGAGAUGGGGAGUUUGUGCAACUCCCACUGGGUCGGCCCAGACUUGCCUCCGUUUUUCCCCCGCAAGGGGAAUGUGUUAGGUAUUUCGCUUAUUUCGGUAUCUCCAAAACUCUUAGCACAAAAUCAGGCACAUAGGAGGCCUUGAAAAGAUCCUUGUUGGUUGACGUAUUGCUGAGUGAGUGAGCUGUGAUGGCGGCACAGGCCCUGGUCCUCAGAGCCUGAGGGAGUGUGUGCACGUGUGCAUGCAUGUGCGUGUAUGUGGGAUGUGCGUGUGUCUUUGUGUGCAUAUGUGAUGUGUGUGGUGUGUAUGUGGUGUAUGUAGGUGUGUGGUGUGUGUGGUGUGUGUGUGCUGUGUGGUGUGUGUAGGUGUGUGCUGUGUGUAGGUGUGUGCUGUAUGUGUGCUGUAUGUGUGGUGUGUGGUGUGUGUAGGUGUGUGAUGUGUGUGGUGUGUGUGGUGUGUGUGUGGUGUGCGUAGGUGUGUGGUGUGUGUGUUAUGUGUAGGUGUGUGGUGUGUGUGUGCUGUGUGCUGUGUGUAGGUGUGUGCUGUGUGUAGGUGUGUGCUGUAUGUGUGGUGUGUGGUGUGUGUAGGUGUGUGGUGUCUGUGGUGUGUGUAUAGGUGUGUGGUGUGUGGUGUGUGUAGGUGUGUGGUGUGUGUAAGUGUGUGUGCUGUGUGGUGUGUGUGUGCUGUGUGGUGUGUGUAGGUGUGUGCUGUAUGUGUGGUGUGUGGUGUGUGGUUGUGUGGUGUGUGUGUGGUGUAUGUAGGUGUGUGCUGUGUGCUGUGUGUUGGUGUGUGGUGUGUGUGCUGUAUGUGUGGUGUGUGGUGUGUGUAGGUGUGUGGUGUGUGUGGUGUGUGUGUGGUGUAUUUGGGGUGUGGUGUGUGUAGGUACGUGUGCAGGUGUAGCUCACACCCCGCCUCCCUCUAGUCCCCUCACAAGUAAGCAGGACCGUCAGGCGUCCCGGGCGGGGCAG
rnacentral:lncRNA from 1 species